GACGAACGCUGGCGGCGUGCUUAACACAUGCAAGUCGAACGGAAAGGCCCUGCUUUUGUGGGGUGCUCGAGUGGCGAACGGGUGAGUAACACGUGAGUAACCUGCCCUUGACUUUGGGAUAACUUCAGGAAACUUGGGCUAAUACCGGAUAGGAGCUCCUGCUGCAUGGUGGGGGUUGGAAAGUUUCGGCGGUUGGGGAUGGACUCGCGGCUUAUCAGCUUGUUGGUGGGGUAGUGGCUUACCAAGGCUUUGACGGGUAGCCGGCCUGAGAGGGUGACCGGCAACAUGGGGACUGAGAUACGGCCCAGACUCCUACGGGAGGAAGCAGUGGGGAAUAUUGCACAAUGGGCGGAAGCCUGAUGCAGAAAAGCCGCGUGCGGGAUGACGGCCUUCGGGUUGUAAACCGCUUUCGCCUGUGACGAAGCGUGAGUGACGGUAAUGGGUAAAGAAGCACCGGCUAACUACGUG
rnacentral:rRNA from 1 species